GCGAAGGCGGCCCCCUGGACAAAGACUGACGCUCAGGUGCGAAAGCGUGGGGAGCAAACAGGAUUAGAUACCCUGGUAGUCCACGCCGUAAACGAUGUCGAUUUGGAGGCUGUGUCCUUGAGGCGUGGCUUCCGGAGCUAACGCGUUAAAUCGACCGCCUGGGGAGUACGGCCGCAAGGUUAAAACUCAAAUGAAUUGACGGGGGCCCGCACAAGCGGUGGAGCAUGUGGUUUAAUUCGAUGCAA
rnacentral:rRNA from 1 species